rnacentral:rRNA from 1 species
CCCCAGACUCCUACGGGAGGCAGCAGUGGGGAAUAUUGCACAAUGGGGGAAACCCUGAUGCAGCGACGCCGCGUGAAGGAAGAAGUAUUUCGGUAUGUAAACUUCUAUCAGCAGGGAAGAAAAUGACGGUACCUGACUAAGAAGCCCCGGCUAACUACGUGCCAGCAGCCGCGGUAAUACGUAGGGGGCAAGCGUUAUCCGGAUUUACUGGGUGUAAAGGGAGCGUAGACGGCAUGGCAAGUCAGAUGUGAAAGCCCGGGGCUCAACCCCGGGACUGCAUUUGAAACUGUCAGGCUGGAGUGCAGGAGAGGUAAGUGGAAUUCCUAGUGUAGCGGUGAAAUGCGUAGAUAUUAGGAGGAACACCAGUGGCGAAGGCGGCUUACUGGACUGUAACUGACGUUGAGGCUCGAAAGCGUGGGGAGCAAACAGGAUUAGAUACCCGAGUA